rnacentral:rRNA from 1 species
CCUGCGCCUCCUUAACUAGGGCUCGUGUGUCCGAGAGCCUUAGACAGAGCGGGUUAUAUUGCAGCACUAAGCAAAACACAUUCUCUACCCCGGCCACAGUCCUCGUAGUCUGUCGCAAAGUCCUCGUAGUCUGUCGCACCUUUACUCAUCCUUUUCCUCUUUUUAGAGGACCGGCCACCUGGACUUCACGCACCAAUAAGCUCCGGCACCUCUAACCCGCAGUCUCGGCACCGAGCUCUGGACGCGCUUUAAGACCAGGCACUAAGUUCGCACCUUUGCUGCAGUAACACAACGUCGUUUACGUUUGCACCCCAUCCACCUAGCUCGACGGAGUAUGGAGGUGGUAGAGGACCAGACCAGACCAUAAUAGCUCUUGCCGAGCCGCCGCCGCCGAGGUAGGGAAUCCCAACGCCACUCCGUCGAGGCUGCCGGUACCUCAAGAACUACGUCGGUCAGUUGUCAUCUUGAAAACUAUCUCCUUCACUUACUGUCGCUGUAUGGAUACCUCGGAGAAUCGGUAGGCCAAGAUAGCUACGGCCCGCCCCUCAACGGCCGUCGGUCACGUUGUCCACGUCUACGCGAGUAGACGAGCCGCUGACGACACCCUUGUCCGCUCCCACGUCUGGCCGGUGUUCGUAGACUUGUGAGUUAUCUUGUUCAACUAGGUAUCCGAGGCCCUACCUGUGUCUCCCAGGUCCACUCUUACAGUAACACGGUUUUUAUCCCUAGUCGAAGCUAUGUGAACCUCUCCGUAUGCUAAAAAUGUUAAACAUGAGGACCCUCUUUCCUGAACCUUAGUCUAUACCCUUCUCGUCUGAUUUACAGUUGUCCUGUUUCACGUUCUUCACACCACAACUUCCCGUGGCGUCCUUGUUGACGGUGUUUCGCCGACUCGACUCCGAAUUCUACACUAGCAUACUCGGAAACAUGUUACAAUUAGAUCUGUAACAAGACAUAAAAAUACCUAGUCUUACCAAAGAGGUAGAGACGUAAUUGGUCGAGAUUUCUAACGAGAGAACGGGCACAGCAAGGACAAGUCCUUCUACGUCUAAGCCUCGGAAGCCACUUAGUUCCUCGUCUUAGGGUCGAGUCGCUUGGACUGCGAAGUUAACAAAGAAGCCAAAGUCUCUUACGUCCCCUUCGUCCGAAUCCCUGUCCGAAGUCUUAGUCACUACCUCCUCCUACGACAACUUCUCUCGUGGCACAGCCAACGGUUCGCUGCAUCCUAAUACAUCCCUAGACAUCAAUCGGUGCACAUUAUCCCCUCGUCACGUCCGUUUCUGCAGAAACGGCAAAAUCCG